rnacentral:rRNA from 1 species
GCCCGAAUUACCGCGGCUGCUGUAUCGCUACAUGCUCUCGGAACUGUUGCGCGUCUUCUUUCUAACGCUGGUGGUACUGGUAACGGUGAUUGCGUUCGGCGCGACGAUCAAGCCGCUGACGAGCGAUCACCUGCUGACGGUUGUGGACAUCAUCAAAUAUCUGUGCAUGGCCAUGGUGCCGAUGCUGCAGUUCGCCCUGCCCUUCGCCGCCGGUUUCGCGUCGACCCUCGUGCUGCAUCGCAUGACGAGCGACAACGAGAUUCUCGUAGCCGCGGUGAGCGGGAUCAGCUAUCGACGUCUGCUCGCCCCGAUCGCGGCAUUCGGCAUCGUGCUGUCGAUCAUCAUGGUCGGCCUCACCCAGUAUGCCAUCCCACAAUUCUGGAACUUGAUGGAGCGGACGAUCACCACCGAUGUGACGAAGCUGUUCCAGGCGUCGAUUGAUCGCG